rnacentral:hammerhead_ribozyme from 1 species
GUACUAAUGAAGAGUCCCAAACUAGGACGAAACGGUUGUCCUGUAC